GUAGCUCUUGUGAUUAGAAUGAAUGUGGCUUUCAAUUGCAAUAGGGUCUUACUACUUACAUAACAAUACUAUUGAUAUUUUAUAUGUAUUUUGCAUACCUUUCAUUUGAGACCUAUUCAUGUAUUAUCCUAUAUGAUCCUCAGAAAAACUUGGUGAGGAAGUAAUAGAAGACUUUAUUAGUAAUAAUAACUUGGUUAUUAUUCUCAUUUUACAGGUAAAGAAACCAAGGCUUAGAGACCUGUCCAUAGUCGUUUAGUGAGGGAAUGCAACAUCUGGGUCUAGGGUCCAAAUCUAUCUCUGCUGUGAAGAGGAACUCAUACAGGAGAUCUACUUGAUUACAAAUUCUUGGCCCUGAAGUGGAGGUCUUCAACUAUUACAGCGGGGGGCAAACAUUACUACAUAACUUAUCAACAGAGGACACACUGUCAUGCGUAUGGAUGUUAAGCCACUUUGUAGGCAGAGGAAAUAUUCAGAAGAAGGCCACAGGGCAUGAUUCCUCAGGGCAUAAUCGAAAGCUGGCAGAUGUCUGCUCCUCUUUGGAUAGAUGAGAAAGAGCAACCAGGCCAACCACAGGAGCACAUUACAGGCAGAAGGGCUGCUGUAAACAAAGAGACCACACCAAGAGUCAAAAAACCCAAAUCUAGACUGGCUUCACGUCUCAUAGCUGAGCUGAGAGUGGAACUGCUCACAUGCAGGAAAGAAUGCAGGAAGCAGGAACUAUGCUGUGGUGUUGUCUUGCUUGGCCAUCAUGUCCCUGCUUUUGAAGGAAGACUGCGGAUGCUAUAUCGAAGAAUAAUAGAGAAAGCACUGAUUAAAUUGUGGACUCGAGGAGGCUGCUCUCAGGAAGUGAGUCCAUGGGUGCUGGGAAAAUGAAAACCUGAGAAUCAAGUACCAUCUUGUCUGAAAAUCAUUUCCACACUGGUGCUGUAGCCCAUUUUCCUAGAGGUCACUUUAUGGACCCAGCCUCUCCUCUUACAAGGUGCUUUUUCUCCAAGAUUCCUUGUCCUUUGAUGAAAGAGUUCUGCAAGCUGUCCUCCCAAAUCUAAUUUCUCAGAAUCCUCAAAUAAACUCAGUUUACAAACACAGUUUCAAAUCAAUUCAUUUUUAUACAGCUUGAUGUACAGUGAUGGAUAGAAAUAGCUUUUCAAUAAAGAAAAUCUAAUUAUCCAGUCUAGAAGAUACUUAUAAUCAAAGAAACUGCUUGACAAGAUAUCUAUUAGAGUGUUGGUUUUGUUGUGUUUUGUUUUGUUUGAGACAGGAUCUCACUCUGUUGCCCGGGCUGGAGUGCAGUGGCACAAUCACAGCUCACUGCAGCCUCUACUUCCCAGGCUCAAGCAGUCCUGCCACCUCAGUCUCUCAGGUAGCGGGGACUAUGGGCACGUGCCACCAUACCCAGCUAAUUUUUGUGCUUUUGGUAGAGACAGAGUUUUGCCAUGUUGCCCAGGCUCUGUUAGAGUCCUUAUACUACUCAAUGUUACUAUGUAAUACAACGAUCAUAUGAUAGCUUUCAUAACUGUAAAAGAAUAAUGGGUUAGAAAGAGAAAUAAUUUUUUUUUCCUCAAACAGGUUUCCUUUUGUCCUUUGAAUAAUAGAGUUUUUCACACGAGGAACAGAGGAAGACAGAGAAAGAUGGAGGGAGGGAGGGAGAGAAAUCACAAAGCCUGCUCCCUGAGAGAGAGACAGAGAGAGAAAGAGAGAGAGCACUAAAUGGUUAUAGCAUUUUAAGUACCAAGGUUCUUAGUGCUCCUCAGCUUUUUCUGGCUUAAUGACCUAAUAUGAAUGAGAUAAAGUUAUACUCCACGACCUUUGAUUUAUAGACUUAGGCAAAUGUCUCCUGCUCCAUUUUUUUUAGCAAUUUCAUUUUUCUUUAAUGACUUUUCUCUCUCCUCUCCUUCUCUAUACACAGACCGGGUGACAGGGGCUUAUAAUGGGUAAUGAGUUGUUUCAUAAUAGAAGUUUAUGAUAACGUUAGCCUCAUAAAGACUUCCCCCAUUCACAGGAGCCAUUUAUGUAAAUAUAUGAAGAAAUUAUAGGUCUGCCAUGUCUUAGGAGAACAGCACCUGGAAGCCUGGCAUUUUAAAACAGCUUUUGAGCUCCUGAGCAUAACUUCCGUGCAGAAAUGAAAAGAUAUGCAUACACAGCUCAGUGAGUUGUCAGUGGCAUGUCGUGAAUUAGAGCAUCACUCAAGAAGCUGUUUCUAUGCUCAUUACUAAAUCUGCAAUUUUUUUUUUACUGUGGCACUUCAUUAUAUUAAAACAUCAAGCUACCUCCAAAAAAAACCUAAAAAAAUGAUUUUUCCCGGA
ensembl:lincRNA